CGGCGCACGGGUGCGUAACGCGUAUGCAAUCUACCUUUUACAGAGGGAUAGCCCAGAGAAAUUUGGAUUAAUACCUCAUAGUAUUAUGAAGUGGCAUCACUUUAUAAUUAAAGUCACAACGGUAAAAGAUGAGCAUGCGUCCCAUUAGCUUGUUGGUAAGGUAACGGCUUACCAAGGCAACGAUGGGUAGGGGUCCUGAGAGGGAGAUCCCCCACACUGGUACUGAGACACGGACCAGACUCCUACGGGAGGCAGCAGUGAGGAAUAUUGGUCAAUGGGCGCAAGCCUGAACCAGCCAUGCCGCGUGCAGGAUGAAGCAUCUAUGGUGUGUAAACUGCUUUUGUACGAGAAGAAACACUCCUUCGUGAAGGAGCUUGACGGUAUCGUAAGAAUAAGGACCGGCUAACUCCGUGCCAGCAGCCGCGGUAAUACGGAGGGUCCAAGCGUUAUCCGGAAUCAUUGGGUUUAAAGGGUCCGUAGGCGGUCUUGUAAGUCAGUGGUGAAAGCCCAUCGCUCAACGGUGGAACGGCCAUUGAUACUGCAAGACUUGAAUUAUUGGGAAGCAACUAGAAUAUGUAGUGUAGCGGUGAAAUGCUUAGAUAUUACAUGGAAUACCAAUUGCGAAGGCAGGUUGCUACCAAUACAUUGACGCUGAUGGACGAAAGCGUGGGGAGCGAACAGGAUUAGAUACCCUGGUAGUCCACGCCGUAAACGAUGGAUACUAGCUGUUCGGAGCAAUCUGAGUGGCUAAGCGAAAGUGAUAAGUAUCCCACCUGGGGAGUACGUUCGCAAGAAUGAAACUCAAAGGAAUUGACGGGGGCC
rnacentral:rRNA from 1 species